UACAGAGGGGGCUAGCGUUGUUCGGAAUGACUGGGCGUAAAGGGCGCGUAGGCGGUUUGAUAAGUCUGAUGUGAAAGGCCAGAGCUUAACUCUGGAGUGUCAUUGGAUACUGUCAAGCUAGAGGAUGAGAGAGGAAAGCGGAAUUCCUUGUGUAGAGGUGAAAUUCGUAGAUACAAGGAGGAACACCAGUGGCGAAGGCGGCUUUCUGGCUCAUUUCUGACGCUGAGGCGCGAAAGCGUGGGGAGCAAACAGG
rnacentral:rRNA from 1 species